ACAUUGAUGGUUCAGUUGUAGAAUUCUUGACUUCUAUGCAGGAGACCCAGGUUUGAUUCCAGGCCAAUGCA
rnacentral:tRNA from 1 species